UAAUGACCGGUCCCUUAUUGUUAAAAUCGAGGAUGUCGUUAAAAUUAAACUGUUUAAACCUGUAAGAUCUUCGGGAACAUUUUAUAUUAUGUCGUGUUUUACCAAAUAAUGUCCUUGCCCUUGCACGGUUCCCAUUUGUAAAAAACUGCUGUAAAUCAUAUCCCCCUUUAAUUAAUUUGAUCUCAUCCGUGAGUCGGCCUCGAAGGCCUUUGAUAAUAAUUAAAGGCAGUUUAGUUAAAGAGCACUUUAAAACCGGUGUGCGAAGCGUUUGUGGUUGAAUUUUGCCUUAAAUUGAGGCUUAUAUUACGUAUAAUAACAUACCUAAAUAUAUAUGUUGGGAAAUUAAUGAUUUU